AUUGAACGCUGGCGGCAGGCCUAACACAUGCAAGUCGAACGGUAACAGGAAGCAGCUUGCUGCUUCGCUGACGAGUGGCGGACGGGUGAGUAAUGUCUGGGAAACUGCCUGAUGGAGGGGGAUAACUACUGGAAACGGUAGCUAAUACCGCAUAACGUCGCAAGACCAAAGAGGGGGACCUUCGGGCCUCUUGCCAUCGGAUGUGCCCAGAUGGGAUUAGCUUGUUGGUGGGGUAACGGCUCACCAAGGCGACGAUCCCUAGCUGGUCUGAGAGGAUGACCAGCCACACUGGAACUGAGACACGGUCCAGACUCCUACGGGAGGCAGCAGUGGGGAAUAUUGCACAAUGGGCGCAAGCCUGAUGCAGCCAUACCGCGUGUAUGAAGAAGGCCUUCGGGUUGUAAAGUACUUUCAGCGGGGAGGAAGGGAGUAAAGUUAAUACCUUUGCUCAUUGACGUUACCCGCAGAAGAAGCACCGGCUAACUCCGUGCC
rnacentral:rRNA from 1 species